UACGUAGGGGGCAAGCGUUGUCCGGAAUCAUUGGGCGUAAAGCGCGUGUAGGCGGCUCGGAAAGUCUGGUGUGAAAUCCUGCGGCUCAACCGCAGACUGUCACUGGAUACUGGCGGACUAGAGUGUGAUAGAGGAUGGUGGAAUUCCCGGUGUAGCGGUGAAAUGCGUAGAGAUCGGGAGGAACACCAGUGGCGAAGGCGGCCAUCUGGAUCAACACUGACGCUGAGGCACGAAAGCGUGGGGAGCAAACAGG
rnacentral:rRNA from 1 species